rnacentral:misc_RNA from 1 species
GCCGAAACUGCCCAUCCCGGCUUGCGGAUCUCUCUCCCCCUAAAUCCAGCGAUCUCUCGUCACUAAUCAGAGCUCGAGGGGGGAGAGCGAGCGAGCGCAAUGGAAACCCUAACCAACUCCUUCUCCUCCCUCAUACACGCAUUUCCCUCAAAAUUCACACCAGCCACGACACGAAUCGGCAAUCUCAAGACCGGCGCCGAUCGUCGGGGCUCGAAAUCGAUCUCCUGCAUGAUCUCCGAGAGUAGCACGUCCGCCAGCGGCCUGAAGGGGAUGACGCGGAACCCGCCGCUGGCGGAGGACUACAACACCGCCAUGAAGAGGAUGAUGCGGAACCCCUACGAGUAUCACCACGAUCUCGGCAUGAACUAUACUCUUAUAAGUGAUAGUUUAAUAGUGGGUUCCCAACCCCAGAAGCCUGAAGAUAUUGAUCAUCUGAAAGUGAAGGAAAAUGUGGCCUACAUACUAUGCUUGCAGCAGGAUACGGACAUUGAGUAUUGGGGAAUUGAUUUCGAUGCUAAUGUCAAGAGGUGUAAAGAAGUUGGUGUUCGCCACAUGAGAAGGCCUGCUAAGGACUUUGAUCCAGAUUCACUGAGAGGUCAAUUACCAAAAGCAGUUUCUUCUUUGGAGUGGGCUAUAUCAGAGGGCAAGGGAAGAGUUUAUGUUCACUGUACGGCUGGAUUGGGUAGGGCACCUGCCGUUGCAAUUGCAUAUAUGUUUUGGUUCUCUGACAUGGAUCUGAAUACGGCCUACAAGAGACUCACAUCCAAACGACCUUGUGGGCCCAACAAGCGAGCCAUUCAAGGUGCUACUUACGAUCUUGCUAAGAAUGAUCCUUGGAAAGAGCCCUUUGAGAGCCUGCCCGAGCAUGCUUUCAGUAAUGUUUCCAAUUGGGAAAGGGAACUGAUACGAGAUCGAGUUCGUCGACUUCGCGGAACUUGAGAGUUCAUGAGGCCGCUCCAGUCGAAGUAAGUCCGAUUAACAGCGUCUGGGAAGCUACAGGCUGAAUGGUAGCAAAGCUUA